AGAUGCGAUCAUACCAGCACUAAUGCAUCGGAUCCCAUCAGAACUCCAAAGUUAAGCGUGCUUGAGCGAGAGUAGUACUAGGAAGGGUGACCCCCUGGGAAGUCCUCGUAUUGCAUCUC
rnacentral:rRNA from 1 species